UGCCAGACUCCUACGGGAGGCAGCAGUGGGGAAUAUUGCACAAUGGGGGAAACCCUGAUGCAGCGACGCCGCGUGAGCGAUGAAGUAUUUCGGUAUGUAAAGCUCUAUCAGCAGGGAAGAAAAUGACGGUACCUGACUAAGAAGCCCCGGCUAACUACGUGCCAGCAGCCGCGGUAAUACGUAGGGGGCAAGCGUUAUCCGGAUUUACUGGGUGUAAAGGGAGCGUAGACGGCUGUGCAAGCCAGAUGUGAAAGCCCGGGGCUCAACCCCGGGACUGCAUUUGGAACUGUGUGGCUGGAGUGUCGGAGAGGCGGGCGGAAUUCCAGGUGUAGGAGUGAAAUCCGUAGAUAUCUGGAGGAACAUCAGUGGCGAAGGCGACUAUCUGGCACAUAACUGACGCUGAGGAGCGAAAGCGUGGGGAGCAAACAGGAUUAGAUACCCCGGUACUA
rnacentral:rRNA from 1 species